AUUGAUGCAAUUAGGCAUCUCACUCAUCGCCAGUAAUGUUCCCCGUGCGCCAGUGUACAAAUUGUCCGUAAAAUAUCCCACCCGGAGCCCGAAAACCGGUCGCAAGAGAGCUGCAUAAGCGGCUUUCCUCCGUCAUCGUCACCGUCAUUUUUUCCUGUCUGUUCUUUCCUUGCUUGCUGUGUUUUGUGCGUGCGUUUUACACGCGUUUUUCUUACUAGCCGUCUCAAUCGAAACUGGUGCUGAAAAGCGGAAGGACGACGUGCAGAACGUUGCCUUGGCCCCGAAACACCCGGAAGUUGGUGAUAUCGAAGUGAAAUUAGAAACAGGGUGCGUGAAAAUGAGUAGCUCUGAGGAGGUAUCAUGGAUUUCCUGGUUUUGCGGACUGCGCGGUAAUGAAUUCUUCUGUGAGGUGGACGAAGAUUACAUACAGGACAAAUUUAACUUGACCGGACUGAACGAACAGGUUCCGAACUAUCGUCAUGCGUUGGAUAUGAUUCUGGACCUUGAGCCUGAGGACGAAAUUGACGAUAACCCCAACCAGUCGGAUCUGAUCGAACAAGCAGCGGAGAUGCUUUACGGUUUGAUACACGCUAGAUACAUUCUUACCAACCGUGGCAUAGCUCAAAUGAUAGAAAAAUAUCAAAGUGGCGACUUUGGUCACUGCCCACGCGUUUAUUGUGAGAGUCAACCAAUGCUUCCACUAGGCCUGUCCGAUGUACCCGGUGAAGCAAUGGUAAAAUCCUACUGUCCCAAAUGCAUCGACGUUUACACACCAAAGUCCUCUAGACAUCACCAUACUGAUGGCGCAUACUUCGGAACUGGAUUCCCGCACAUGCUGUUCAUGGUACACCCAGAGUACCGUCCUAAACGUCCCGCAAAUCAAUUCAUACCACGUCUCUACGGUUUUAAGAUUCACUCUUUAGCGUAUCAAAUCCAGCUGCAGGCUGCAGCGAACUUUAAGGCACCGCUUCGAGGGGUAAAUGGCAAUCGUGAUGUAUUACCGAAAGUUUAACCUUAGAACCAUAACCAUUUAGAAUGGGGGAAGAAACGUGGUUUGUUUAGCGGGCCUACCACACAUGAAUCUGUCCCCUUGUUUUGCUUUUGUUUUGGACUAGAAUCGAAAAGGGAAUACCAAUUUUUCUGUUUAUCAUCUUGCGAAAUUGAUUAUAAUUUUCAAAAAUGUUGUAUAAAGAGAAUAUCGUUGAAUAUUAUGAUUUUGGUAGUGUGUAGAGCUUUCACUAAACCGUUGAUGAGGAUGUCUUUAUAAAACAAAUAAUUGGAGAAAAUGUUUUAUUUUGUUCUAUUUUCGCUCAUAUAUAUUGUAUUGGUCGCGCAUACUAUCUGCUUUUUUUAUUAACCGUUCAAUUGUUACAGCUCUUCGAUUACUUCUAUGCUGGUUUGUUGAGUAUAAUAGUUUAGUUACCCGACGGAGAGUUUGUUGAGGACCUGGGAAGGCAUUCUUAUCGCCUUUUCUAAAAUGCUAGACAGUAAAGACACUUUUGCAUUUAUAAUGCUGAUAUUUUGGUAUCAGUUUAUCUUACUUAUCUGAAGCUUCGAAGUGUUAUUUCUGUAAAUAAUAUGACUAUAUGAACAAAUAUGAAUAUUCAGUUUAAACUCAAAUAGGAAGAAAAAGUCUAUGCUGUUUAAUUUAAACAUUACAAUUACCAAUUGAAUAAUCCUGAUAACUGUUGCUAGUGAGAAAACCUGUCUAAACAAAUGUACCUAUUUUGAACGAUUUUUAUAUUUAAUGUGAACCUUUAUGUUCAUCACUCAGAGGUUUUUUUUCGUGUAAUUUAAAUGCUUUCAAAUACUAAACAUAAUUUCCUUUUCUUUCCUGUUUUACUUUGUUGUGUCUCUUAAAUAUCUCUGUUGGUGUGUCAUUAAUGGCGUGCUGUGAAUAAUCGUCCCGUUCCAUUGUCCUGUACCUGUACUACACAACAAAUUGAAAACUGAAGAGCUCGGCGAAGGGGAUCGAUAACUGAACCGCAAGCCGCCGAGACUAUAUCGAGAAGAUAGUUUGAGCCACCCUCCCGAUAUAGGAUCAAUUCCCCCCCUCCCCCAACCACAUCAUCAAGCGGCGGUGGCGUGCGAGGGUGCAAGUGUGUACGUGGGUGUGUGUGCGUGUGGUUAUGGAUAGGUCAAGAACAAGAUAAAGGUAGUGAGGUAGUAAGCGGAUCGCGAAAAGGGCAGUGUGCUCUUCUGUGUGGAUGACCUGGCAGAACGCAACACAUUUAGGACACGCCAAGCGUCGUUCAAUAGACUUUUUGUUUUUAAUUUUGGAACGUUGAUUUCCUCAUCGUUCGCUAUGGUCCGCUACAGCUCUCAGAAGCUGGGAAAAGGAAAAUUGGAUGGAAUAUGCAGUACAUGUGGAGCUAAAGAUUGUUGGAUCCAUCCGCGAUUGUUAUUAUAGGGUAGUGUGCUAGGUGUAAUGCGCUAGCCUGGGGUCCAUACGUUGUAGAAGAUCAAAUGCAACACAUGCACAUGCACAUAUGCACACCUACAAGUAGGUACACAGGACAGGAAGGCAAAACAAUUAAAGUAAUCGAUGUAGUAAAAUAGAACGGCGGCGGGGACGGGCAGAAUAAGGAUGAUGAAAGUGAUGAAAUAACAAUGUUGUCUGUAACACCUAAAACUCUUCGAACCUCGUACCGGGCAAAUCUUGAUCAGCAUAUGCAUGAAACGCUUCUUGCCUUGUGUUCACGUAGAGCAGCUACGACAAGCAGGCUCGGGAUCGGUUUUGUUAUCAACGCGAUCUGGAUGGAUGGAUGGAUAGGAAGAUACAAUGCUUGUAAAGCGGCUGUUUGGUCCCGAUGGUGAAGCAUAGAUUUAUUGUAUAGUUUGAUUUUCUCUCUUUGAGAUAAAUCAUUUGCAGACGUUGCAGUUUUGCUGUUGUUCCACGAAAGUAAUUUAUUUGUACAUGUCUCAUUUCAAUAGCCCCUUUUUUGUGGUGCAUCUAAGCAUCUCGAAGCAAAUUGGAUUCUAUGAGGUUUGGCCAUUCCUUUUCGUUAUUUUUUCUCCCCAGAAACCUAAGGCUGUUGUGCAUGCGAAGAUCUUGUUUGAGGAUUUUCGUGUUUUUGAAACAGCAUUUGCUUUAUAGGCCUACUUUUGCGUUGCAAGACCAAUUAUCAAUAAAAAAAACACAAAUGUUACGGAGUGCGACCACAUCCGUGCCCGUCACAGUCGAAGAGUUCAGUAACGUUAGGCGAAGAGAAGAGGGAAGAAUUGAAACAAAUAAAAUAAAAGAACAAUAACCACACAGAAAAAGGACGGAAAAUCACAAAAAAAAGAAAAUAGGCAGCAUGUAGCGUAAAAAUUGGAGCCGGUCCACGAGCCAUAAGAAAAUCUCCACACAACAUUAAGAAAUAAUACAAAAAUCAUUCAAACAACCACCACCAUCGUCUCUCAUCAUCCCCAACACUCAGCCACAGUAUGUGCGUGUAUGCGUGUUGAUGUCGCUUUCCCGGCCACAGCAAAGCCGGGGGCCCGUGUGUAGGCUUAGGUAAUGAUACUUUUAAUCAUUUUAGUUAUCCUUCCCAUCAGACGACAAAAAACGAAAAACAACAGCGGAAACAGACAGACGGAUUUAAGCUAGAGCACCUUUUCACGAUAUAAACAUAUUUAUCUGUUUUUGUUAUACUUUGUGCGAGGCAGGGUGAAAAAAAAAGUUCUAUCUGCUAUCAUUUUCUAUCCCUGACCAACCAACUAUCUCAAGAAUUCACUGCAAUGCGCCUUUUCUUUUUCUUCCCCUGUACGUGUUUAUUCCCGCCUGUUUUCUUAUAUUACAAGAUGAUAAGGAGAUGACCUUGCCUUUUGCUACUGUUUCCAUAAAAAAAAUCACAAAACUUAGGGCAUUUUUAUACCUGGGAAGACAACUUCUGUUUUUGUUCACCUAUAAUUUACAUUAAUAUCUAAUUAGAAGAAAAUGGCAUUUGCAGUUUAUAUGCAUCAUGCAGCAACAGCAGCAACACGAUGAUGAAGAAGAAGAAGGAAAGAACUUAUAGGAACUAUUUCGCGUUCCCUUGUGGGAAACUAUAAUAAUAAUAAUAAUAAAAAAGAAACUUCAUUGCUAGUAAACGAAAGUGGGGUAACAGACCGAUUGAGUAGGAAGCGGAAAUGUAACAAACACAGCAUGUGAAGAGUGGGGGAAAAGAAAUACAGAAGAAAGAUUCAUUAACAACCGAACAACAGCAACAAAUAAAACCUCCAAAAUUCUUUCUCAUAGCAAAAACAAAAAUCACAUAGAAGGAGACACUUUCAACAAAAUGAACGUUAGCUGCAAAGCACACACAUUCCUAAGGCAUACUCCCAAGUUGCUUGAGAUGAAUGUUAUGGAAAGUGAAAUAGUGCUGUUGCAAAAACAAAAGAAAACACACACACACGAAAACACUAAUCAACGGAAUAUAUAUAAAAUUGUAUUCUAUAUAUAUAUAAAAAUCAUACAUUAUAGAUGAAUCUAUUGAUUAAUAAUAAUUAUUAAUUAACAGAUCGAUCGAGAACAGCAGUUAAACAAAAGAACAACAAAAGCGAAGUGAGCGUUAGGGAAGAAUUAAGAGGGAUGAACUAAAGCAACACAUAAAACAAACAAACAAAAAAUACAAAACAAAAGGAACACACAUGCAUGCAACCGAGCGAAUGAUGAACACACAACGGUACGCAAGCGGGGUUGAUAAAAGGCAAAAUGAAAAGGCAAAGUUCCGGUGUGUGCUUCGUUGGAGGCAAUUGGAAUAAAAUGAAACAAAACGAAA